AACAGGAUUAGAUACCCUGGUAGUCCACGCUGUAGACGAUGUCGACUUGGAGGUUGUUCCCUUGAGGAGUGGCUUCCGGAGCUAACGCGUUAAGUCGACCGCCUGGGGAGUACGGCCGCAUGGUUAAAACUCAAAUGAAUUGACGGGGGCCCGCACAAGCGGUGGAGCAUGUGGUUUAAUUCGAUGCAACGCGAAGAACCUUACCUACUCUUGACAUCCAGAGAACUUAGCAGAGAUGCUUUGGUGCCUUCGGGAACUCUGAGACAGGUGCUGCAUGGCUGUCGUCAGCUCGUGUUGUGAAAUGUUGGGUUAAGUCCCGCAACGAGCGCAACCCUUAUCCUUUGUUGCCAGCGGUCCGGCCGGGAACUCAAAGGAGACUGCCAGUGAUAAACUGGAGGAAGGUGGGGAUGACGUCAAGUCAUCAUGGCCCUUACGAGUAGGGCUACACACGUGCUACAAUGGCAUAUACAAAGAGAAGCGACCUCGCGAGAGCAAGCGGACCUCAUAAAGUAUGUCGUAGUCCGGAUUGGAGUCUGCAACUCGACUCCAUGAAGUCGGAAUCGCUAGUAAUCGUGGAUCAGAAUGCCACGGUGAAUACGUUCCCGGGCCUUGUACACACCGCCCGUCACACCAUGGGAGUGGGUUGCAAAAGAAGUAGGUAGCUUAACCUUCGGGAGGGCGCUUACCACUUUGUGAUUCAUGACUGGGGGUGAAGUCGUAACAAGGUAACC
rnacentral:rRNA from 1 species